AUGAAAUGUUAGGUUGGUGAGCUCGGCUGGGGGGUGGGUGGUGGGUGGGUUCUUGUAUUCUUUGAUUUUGUAGCCUGAUGAAUGGAACCUGUAAAUUGGUGAUGUGUGUUGUUUAUCAAAAGGAAAGCGAAAGAAAUAAUAGCAGACGGGUGAGGUGUUGCCAUUGCCAAUAUCUAGCUGUUCUCUUGUGCUUUGCCUGCCUUGAAGGGAAGAGGAAUGUUCUCUUGUGAGCUCGACUUGUCAACUCCUAUAUACUAAUCCAUUGAUUUUCCGUAAAAGAAUGGUGUCAAGGUUAGAUAUGGCCCGCAAAG
rnacentral:lncRNA from 7 species